rnacentral:rRNA from 1 species
GAUGAACGCUGGCGGCGUGCCUAAUACAUGCAAGUCGAGCGAAUGGAUUAAGAGCUUGCUCUUAUGAAGUUAGCGGCGGACGGGUGAGUAACACGUGGGUAACCUGCCCAUAAGACUGGGUUAACUCCGGGAAACCGGGGCUAAUACCGGAUAACAUUUUGAACCGCAUGGUUCGAAAUUGAAAGGCGGCUUCGGCUGUCACUUAUGGAUGGACCCGCGUCGCAGUAGCUAGUUGGGUAGGGAAGGGCUCACAAAGGCAACGAUGCGUAGCCGACCUGAGAGGGUGAUCGGCCACACUGGGACUGAGACACGGCCCAGACUCCUACGGGAGGCAGCAGUAGGGAAUCUUCCGCAAUGGACGAAAGUCUGACGGAGCAACGCCGCGUGAGUGAUGAAGGCUUUCGGGUCGUAAAACUCUGUUGUUAGGGAAGAACAAGUGCUAGUUGAAUAAGCUGGCACCUUGACGGUACCUAACCAGAAAGCCACGGCUAACUACGUGCCAGCAGCCGCAGUAA